rnacentral:rRNA from 1 species
GGCGGCGUGCUUAACACAUGCAAGUCGAGCGAAGCAGUUAAGAAGAUUCUUCGGAUGAUUCUUAACUGACUGAGCGGCGGACGGGUGAGUAACGCGUGGGUGACCUGCCCCAUACCGGGGGAUAACAGCUGGAAACGGCUGCUAAUACCGCAUAAGCGCACAGAGCUGCAUGGCUCGGUGUGAAAAACUCCGGUGGUAUGGGAUGGGCCCGCGUCUGAUUAGGCAGUUGGCGGGGUAACGGCCCACCAAACCGACGAUCAGUAGCCGGCCUGAGAGGGCGACCGGCCACAUUGGGACUGAGACACGGCCCAAACUCCUACGGGAGGCAGCAGUGGGGAAUAUUGCACAAUGGGGGAAACCCUGAUGCAGCGACGCCGCGUGAGCGAAGAAGUAUUUCGGUAUGUAAAGCUCUAUCAGCAGGGAAGAUAAUGACGGUACCUGACUAAGAAGCCCCGGCUAACUACGUGCCAGCAGCCGCGGUAAUACGUAGGGGGCAAGCGUUAUCCGGAUUUACUGGGUGUAAAGGGAGCGUAGACGGCAAGGCAAGUCUGAUGUGAAAACCCAGGGCUUAACCCUGGGACUGCAUUGGAAACUGUCUGGCUCGAGUGCCGGAGAGGUAAGCGGAAUUCCUAGUGUAGCGGUGAAAUGCGUAGAUAUUAGGAAGAACACCAGUGGCGAAGGCGGCUUACUGGACGGUAACUGACGUUGAGGCUCGAAAGCGUGGGGAGCAAACAGG